AAGUCGUAACAAGGUUUCCGUAGGUGAACCUGCGGAAGGAUCAUUAGAAAGUCCGUCCGGCGGAAACGCCGGCCUACCUUCAAACCACUGUGAAACCACCCGUUGCUUCGCGGCGUGCCUGCGGGAGGGGACCACCCCCCCGCCGCGCUGUCAGUCCGCAGAAGCCCAAACCAAAAACCACUUCGUAACAGUCUGUCUGAACACUAUGAAUUAAAAUUCGUUAAAA
rnacentral:misc_RNA from 1 species